rnacentral:rRNA from 1 species
GCGAGGGGAGUGAAAAAGAACCUGAAACCGUGUACGUACAAGCAGUGGGAGCCUCUUUAUGGGGUGACUGCGUACCUUUUGUAUAAUGGGUCAGCGACUUAUAUUCUGUAGCAAGGUUAACCGAAUAGGGGAGCCGAAGGGAAACCGAGUCUUAACUGGGCGUUAAGUUGCAGGGUAUAGACCCGAAACCCGGUGAUCUAGCCAUGGGCAGGUUGAAGGUUGGGUAACACUAACUGGAGGACCGAACCGACUAAUGUUGAAAAAUUAGCGGAUGACUUGUGGCUGGGGGUGAAAGGCCAAUCAAACCGGGAGAUAGCUGGUUCUCCCCGAAAGCUAUUUAGGUAGCGCCUCGUGAAUUCAUCUCCGGGGGUAGAGCACUGUUUCGGCAAGGGGGUCAUCCCGACUUACCAACCCGAUGCAAACUGCGAAUACCGGAGAAUGUUAUCACGGGAGACACACGGCGGGUGCUAACGUCCGUCGUGAAGAGGGAAACAACCCAGACCGCCAGCUAAGGUCCCAAAGUCAUGGUUAAGUGGGAAACGAUGUGGGAAGGCCCAGACAGCCAGGAUGUUGGCUUAGAAGCAGCCAUCAUUUAAAGAAAGCGUAAUAGCUCACUGGUCGAGUCGGCCUGCGCGGAAGAUGUAACGGGGCUAAACC